AUGUCAUGUAUAACAAGCAAGAUACGAUAGAUUGGGGUAACUUACAAUUGGAAGUCACUGAGCCUGGGGAGCAAAAACUUGGUAGCUCCCUCAAUACCCUUCUUGAAGACAGCUUGAUCUUCUUCGCUGAGCUUGGGUGUCAAAAGCUUAAUGUAUUUCUUAAUGUAAGCGAUGAAUCCCUUCUUGUCAUAAGUUGGUUGCUCCUGAAGUCUGAAGGUGUCGACAAUGUCAACAACCUUUUGAGUAGAGUCAUCAACACCUUCAUCCUCACCACCUUCUUCAGCAGAUGGAUUGGCACCAAUGUUAACAUCUACAGCUCCCACAGUAACCCACUGGAUAACAAAAUCAAAACCCAAUUCAGAACAGGAAAACAAAAAUUUAACAAAAUCAAAACAAAACUUGAAGUAGAAUCGAUGACACUGACCUUUCCUUCUACUUCCCAGAGGAUUCCAUUCUCAAUCUCCUUGUAAGGGAAAGAGUCAGACAGAAGCUCAUCACC
rnacentral:sRNA from 1 species